rnacentral:lncRNA from 1 species
GGGUUCCUUGAAGCCUCAGUGGUGACUGAGGAACUGAGAACAGGUGAGUCAGCCCAGGCAAGCAGCCCACUGCAGAGCCCAGAAAGAGACUUGUCAUCCACCCCAGAGUCCAAGCUCCCAGGACUUCUCAGAGUCACUCAUGAAGCCCCUCAACAGUCCUGAAAUGAAGGGUCUAGGGACAAAUCCAAGUCUCCCAGGAGGCAACCCCUCUCGCCUAUAAGGGGGGAUUGGCCCGGCUCAGCUGCACUGACAAAGGCUGAAGACAGCACGCAGCGGUGCGGGCAGCCCCCUGAAGCUCCAUGUGAACAUGACUCACAGCGGUUAUGAAUAUCAAACCUCCUUUGAUGUGUUCCCGGACAUGAGGAGCAGCCACAGCGGGGAGGAGGUGGACCCUGGAUGCCGGCUCUGCGGGGCGGUGUGCGGAGGGCCUGGACACGUCUGGCAGCAUCCUGAAGCUCCAGGAGAACUUGGAGCGGCUCCCGAGACUGGGUCAGUUACGACCAUCCAGAAGGAGACCAUGCCCAGCCAACUACAAGGUGAGCGCCCAGACUGGAUCAAGAAGAGAGGAUCAGUCACCUCAUGUCUGUUUCAGCUGAAAGCUUUUCCCCAUGUGGACAGUUCUCCCAUUUCUAGACAGGGUUCAAGAACAGGUUUGGUCCCUGGAAAUUUGAACAAAGACUUUACAGUUACAGAAGGAGGUGCAAAGGGUAAACAGGGAAGGAAUCUGUUCAUCUCCAUGCCUGCAUGCUUUUGGCUUUCUGAAAUGAGGCUGAUUUAUUUUGCAGCUGAGUUGGACUUUGACUGA